AGUGAACGCUGGCGGUAGGCCUAACACAUGCAAGUCGAACGGCAGCACAGUAAGAGCUUGCUCUUACGGGUGGCGAGUGGCGGACGGGUGAGGAAUACAUCGGAAUCUACUUUUUCGUGGGGGAUAACGUAGGGAAACUUACGCUAAUACCGCAUACGACCUACGGGUGAAAGCAGGGGAUCUUCGGACCUUGCGCGAUUGAAUGAGCCGAUGUCGGAUUAGCUAGUUGGCGGGGUAAAGGCCCACCAAGGCGACGAUCCGUAGCUGGUCUGAGAGGAUGAUCAGCCACACUGGAACUGAGACACGGUCCAGAAUCCUACGGGAGGCAGCAGUGGGGAAUAUUGGACAAUGGGCGCAAGCCUGAUCCAGCCAUACCGCGUGGGUGAAGAAGGCCUUCGGGUUGUAAAGCCAUUUUGUUGGGAAAGAAAAGCAGCAGGUUAAUACCCCGCUGUUCUGACGGUACCCAAAGAAUAAGCACCGGCUAACUUCGU
rnacentral:rRNA from 1 species